AUUGAACGCUGGCGGCAGGCCUAACACAUGCAAGUCGAGCGAGAGGCGGACGGGUGAGUAAUGUAUGGGGAUCUGCCUGAUGGAGGGGGAUCACUACUGGAAACUGUGGCUACUACCGCAUACUAUCGGAUAGACCCAUAUGGGAUUAGCGAGUAGGUGGGGUAAAGGCACACCUAGGCGACGAUCUCUAGCUGGUCUGAGAGGAUGAACAGCCACACGGUGACAGAGAAACGGCCCAGACUCCUACGGGAGGCAGCAGUGGGGAAUAUUGCACAAUGGGCGCAAGCCUGAUGCAGCCAUGCCGCGUGUAUGAAGAAGGUCUUAGGGUUGUAAAGUACUUUCAGCGGGGAGGCGUUACCCGCAGAAGAAGCACCGGCUAACUCCGUGCCAGCAGCCGCGGUAAUUC
rnacentral:rRNA from 1 species